rnacentral:rRNA from 1 species
GAUGAACGCUAGCUACAGGCUUAACACAUGCAAGUCGAGGGGUAACGAGAGGAAAGCUUGCUUUCCUUGUCGACGACCGGCGCACGGGUGAGUAACGCGUAUCCAACCUGCCCCCAACUAGGGAAUAACCUUGCGAAAGUAAGACUAAUACCCUAUAAUUUCCUCAGAUGUCAUCUGACGAGGAAUAAAGAUUUAUCGGUUGUGGAUGGGGAUGCGUCUGAUUAGCUUGUUGGCGGGGUAACGGCCCACCAAGGCAACGAUCAGUAGGGGUUCUGAGAGGAAGGGCCCCCACAUUGGAAAUGAGACACGGUCCAAAUUCCUACGGGAGGCAGCAGUGAGGAAUAUUGGUCAAUGGGCGGAAGCCUGAACCAGCCAAGUAGCGUGCAGGAUGACGGCCCUAUGGGUUGUAAACUGCUUUUAUACAGGAAUAAAGUUAGCCACGUGUGGUUAUUUGUAGGUACUGUAUGAAUAAGGACCGGCUAAUUCCGUGCAGCCGCCGCCAUAA